rnacentral:rRNA from 1 species
AUGGCGAAGUGCCUCGCCGUCGCGCUCCUGCUGCUGGUGGUGCUCGCGUCCUGCGAAGGGAGGGAGCUGAGCCAGAAGGACGGCGCACUGGGAGCGACACGCGGUGCCGGCGUCGCCGAGUCCAAGGCUUCUUCGGGUUCGGGGUUGCCAGACCUGCCGGUUGUGGGAACCGGAACCAGUACCAUUAACGGCCCGCUGGUGGUGAUUCCUGGGGUGCCUUCUCACCCAUGA